AGAGUUUGAUCCUGGCUCAGAACGAACGCUGGCGGCGCGUCUUAAGCAUGCAAGUCGGACGGCAAGUUGUAGCAAUACAACCUAGAGUGGCGGACUGGUGAGUAACACGUGGGUGACGUACCCCUUAGCUGGGGAUAGCCGGUAGAAAUACCGGAUAAUACCGAAUAAGCUUGACCUUUUGAUGUAGGUUAAGGAAAGGAGCUUCGGCUUCACUGAAGGAACGGCUCGCGCACUAUCAGCUAGUUGGUGAGGUAACGGCCCACCAAGGCAACGAUGGUUAUCCGGCCUAAGAGGGUGAACGGACACAUUGGGACUGAGAUACGGCCCAGACUCCUACGGGAGGCAGCAGCUAAGAAUAUUCCGCAAUGGAGGAAACUCUGACGGAGCGACGCCGCGUGGAUGAUGAAGGUCGGAAGAUUGUAAAAUCCUUUUAUCUGUGUGGAAUAACUGGUGCAGGUAAUGGCAUCGGGAUGACUGUAGCAGAUGAAUAAGCAACGGCUAAUUACGUGCCAGCAGCCGCGGUAACACGUAAGUUGCGAGCGUUGUUCGGAAUUAUUGGGCGUAAAGGGCAUGUAGGCGGUUAUGCAAGCUUGGUGUGAAAUUCUGGGGCUUAACUCCAGAACUGCGUUGAGAACUGCGUAACUAGAGUAACUGAGGGGCAGCCGGAAUUCCAGGUGUAGGGGUGAAAUCUGUAGAUAUCUGGAAGAACACCAAUGGCGAAGGCAGGCUACCAGCAGAUUACUGACGCUGAGGUGCGAAGGUGCGGGGAGCAAACAGGAUUAGAUACCCUGGUAGUCCGCACAGUCAACGAUGUACACUAGGUGUCUGGCCAUGAGGCUGGGUGCCAAAGCAAACGCGAUAAGUGUACCGCCUGGGGAGUAUGCCCGCAAGGGUGAAACUCAAAGGAAUUGACGGGGGCCCGCACAAGCAGCGGAGCAUGUGGUUUAAUUCGACGCAACGCGAAGAACCUUACCAGGUCUUGACAUCCAGUAAAAGCCACAGAGAUGUGGUGUGAGCUUGCUCAUACUGAGACAGGUGGUGCAUGGUUGUCGUCAGCUCGUGUCGUGAGAUGUUGGGUUAAGUCCUGCAACGAGCGCAACCCUUGUUUCCAGUUACUAACGCGCAGUGGCGAGGACUCUGGAGAGACUGCCGGGGACAACUCGGAGGAAGGUGGGGACGACGUCAAAUCAUCAUGCCCCUUAUGACCUGGGCUACACACGUGCUACAAUGGCCACGACAAAGAGAAGCGAAGCCGUAAGGCAGAGCGGAUCUCAAAAAAGUGGUCCCAGUUCGGAUUGUGGGCUGCAACCCGCCCACAUGGAGUCGGAGUUGCUAGUAAUCGCGGAUCAGCAUGCCGCGGUGAAUACGUUCCCGGGCCUUGCACUCACCGCCCGUCA
rnacentral:rRNA from 1 species